CACAUAACUCUUGGUACACGCAGCACAAUAAAAGUCCUUGGAGAACAGAGAAGAUCUUUGUCAGAAAUUGUAUCUCAUUUAGCAACAUUGUUUCACUGUGUUCCUUUCAGAAUGAAAGUGAUUCAUCUUGCUUUUGUUUCGGGUCGCCUUUUAUUUUUUCCCUUCCUGGGAAAUUUCUUUUCCAUUAGGAGGCAGGCACUUUUUCCUUUCACCUGUCUUCACAAACCAGGACUUUGAUCUGCAACGUGUUUAUGCUCAGCUCUCACAGUCCAAUUUAACUCUCUCUCUCUCUCUCUCUCUCUAUAUAUAUAUAUAUAAUUUUUCAUUUUGCCAAGUAGUGAUUCACAUAACACGGACCAUAUUGACGUGAAAUGGGUUAAAAAAUAUUUUAAUGAUCCCUUUCCUUGGAAAUGGUGUGUGUCUGUUUGUGCAUCGCAUUACAAAUACCAUCAUCAUUUAUUCAGUCAGGAAGUAUUUUUGCAUUUUUUUCUAACUUCAUGGCGCUGCCGAGGACAUGAAGUAUUUGCUAGGAGGCAGUCAUUGCACUGGGAAUAUCUCUAAAUGAAAGGCAACACAAAAAGUAGUUAAUUCCGUUGCAGAUGUUGAAGAGCAAAACGUCAUGAUACGAGACACCCCAAGGGCAACUUUAGAGGCUGUGUUCACCGCAUCGAGAGAAGGAAGAAGAGGAUUCAUAAUGAAAAUUCAUAAUUCAUUUUGACUUGUAUCAGAAGCCUUUUUGACAAAAGACAGAGACUGAAGUAACACGAAUAUCUUCUUGGAGGCCCGUGUCUGCCAGCUCACAGAAGCCACCCCGAAGGGGAUGAUGGUGAUGUGUGAU
rnacentral:lncRNA from 10 species